rnacentral:rRNA from 1 species
GACGAACGCUGGCGGCGUGCUUAACACAUGCAAGUCGAACGGAAAGGCCCUGCUUUUGUGGGGUGCUCGAGUGGCGAACGGGUGAGUAACACGUGAGUAACCUGCCCUUGACUUUGGGAUAACUUCAGGAAACUGGGGCUAAUACCGGAUAGGAGCUCCUGCUGCAUGGUGGGGGUUGGAAAGUUUCGGCGGUUGGGGAUGGACUCGCGGCUUAUCAGCUUGUUGGUGGGGUAGUGGCUUACCAAGGCUUUGACGGGUAGCCGGCUUGAGAGGGUGACCGGCCACAUUGGGACUGAGAUACGGCCCAGACUCCUACGGGAGGCAGCAGUGGGGAAUAUUGCACAAUGGGCGGAAGCCUGAUGCAGCAACGCCGCGUGCGGGAUGACGGCCUUCGGGUUGUAAACCGCUUUCGCCUGAGACGAAGCGUGAGUGACGGUAAUGGGUAAAGAAGCACCGGCUAACUACGUG